AGUGAUGACUCAUGACGCAAGUCAAAUCAAAUGCCUAAGAAAAUAUGGCGGUGAUAGUGGUACGAUCGGUGGUGAUACUUCUUUGAUAUUAGUUAAAGUAUAUAUUUUCUUUGAGGUUAUCUGUGUAAUCCUUUCUAUCGCAAUUUUCAAGUUAAACAAUAAAACGUCAAAAUGAGUUUCUUCAGCAAAGUAUUUGGUGGUAAAAAAGAACCAGUUGCUCCAUCAACGGCCGAGGCUAUUCAAAAAUUACGUGAAACCGAGGAUAUGCUGAUUAAGAAACAAGAUUUUCUUGAAAGCAAAAUUGAACUUGAAAUUCAAACAGCGAAAAAAAAUGGAACGAAGAACAAGAGAGCGGCUAUCCAAGCCCUUAAAAGAAAAAAGCGUUAUGAAAAGCAGCUACAACAAAUUGAUGGUACUUUGUCAACGAUUGAAAUGCAAAGAGAAGCUCUGGAAAGUGCCAACACAAAUACUGCAGUACUUACCACCAUGAAAAGCGCAGCGGAUGCAUUAAAAUCUGCUCAUCAACACAUGGACGUUGAUCAAGUUCACGAUAUGAUGGAUGAUAUUGCUGAACAACAAGAUGUUGCUAAAGAAAUUUCUGAUGCAAUAUCUAAUCCUGUAGCAUUUGGUCAAGACAUAGAUGAAGAAGAGCUUGAAAAAGAACUAGAAGAACUUGAACAGGAACAACUUGAUAAAGAAUUACUUGGCAUCGAAUCUACGGAUGAAUUACCAGCGAUACCUGCUACAACUGUUCCAGCUGUUCCAUCUGCUCCUGCAAGAACUCGUACAAAAGCUAAACCAGAGGAAGACGAGGAUUUAAAGGAAUUAGAAGCAUGGGCAUCGUAAUUAAGUUGGAUGUCUAAGAAAAAGUACUGCAGAUUAUUAAUCUGUACAUUGGUGAUUUUACAAAGAGAAACAACAAACACAAAUCUAUAUAAAAUCAAUUUGCUAUUAUAGAUUCAUAGCUUGUGAUUAUAACAUUAAAGCGGAAUGUGCUUUAUAGUUUUUUCCUUUAUAUAUAUAUAAAUAUAUCUUAUCGCUAUGAUAGCUCAUUCUUUUGUAUAUAAGUGAUAAUUUAAAUAAUAGUUUCAAAAACAAAUGCUUGCAGCAUUUAUAUUGUUCAUAAUAAAUAGAGUUUUAUUAUAUGGAUAUAAUUACUAUAAAUUUGAUUAAUAAAAUGAUUGGAAAUACUGCAUAUAUAUGAUAAUAAUAAUAAUAAUAACAAUAAUAAUAAUUUAUAUACGAAGACAAAUAGAAAUUGUAAAUCUAUAAUUUCAUCAUUUUUGUUGCAAGUAGCACAUAAUAAUACACGGAAAAUGACUUAUAA
rnacentral:misc_RNA from 1 species